GACGAACGCUGGCGGCGUGCUUAACACAUGCAAGUCGAACGGAAAGGCCCUGCUUUUGUGGGGUGCUCGAUUGGCGAACGGGUGAGUAACACGUGAGUAACCUGCCCUUGACUUUGGGAUAACUUCAGGAAACUGGGGCUAAUACCGGAUAUGAGCUCCUGCUGCAUGGUGGGGGUUGGAAAGUUUCGGCGGUUGGGGAUGGACUCGCGGCUUAUCCGCUUGUUGGUGUGGUAGUGGCUUACCAAGCCUUGGACGGGUAGCCGGCCUGAGAGGGUGACCGGCCACAUUGGGACUGAGAGACGGACCAGAAUCGUACGGGAGGCAGCAGUGGGGAAUAUUGCACAAUGGGCGGAAGCCUGAUGCAGAAACGCCGCGUGCGGGAUGACGGCCUUCGGGUUGUAAACCGCUUUCGCCUGUGACGAAGCGUGAGUGACGGUAAUGGGUAAAGAAGCACCGGCUAACUACGUG
rnacentral:rRNA from 1 species